rnacentral:rRNA from 1 species
AUUGAACGCUGGCGGCAGGCCUAACACAUGCAAGUCGAACGAGUGGCGGACGGGUGAGUAAUGUCUGGGAAACUGCCUGAUGGAGGGGGAUAACUACUGGAAACGGUAGCUAAUACCGCAUACCAUCAGAUGUGCCCAGAUGGGAUUAGCUUGUUGGUGGGGUAACGGCUCACCAAGGCGACGAUCCCUAGCGGGUCUGAGAGGAUGAACAGCCACACUGGAACUGAGACACGGUCAAGACUCCUACGGGAGGCAGCAGUGGGGAAUAUUGAAAAAUGGGCGCAAGCCGGAUGCAGCAAUGCCGCGGGUAUGAAGAAGGCCUUAGGGUUGUAAAGUACUGUCAGCGGGGAGGCGUUACCCGCAGAAGAAGCACCGGCUAACUCCGUGCCAGCAGCCGCGGUAAUAC